rnacentral:tRNA from 1 species
UUGAGAAAGACAUAAGGGUUAUGGUGUUGGCUUGAAACCAGUUUCAGAGGGUUCGACUCCUUCCUUCCUUA